GGGAGAAUAACCAAAACCUCCGAGAACCUCACAGAAACCUUGGGUGGGGCGCAAGGUCUCCAGAGGUUUCCGUUCAGGUUUCCUAAGUGGGACAGGGGUUUUGUGGGACAGGGGCUUAAGGCUUGCAGCAGCAUUAACUACAUGGAGUAUAUGUUCAUAAGGAAUGAGUCCUCAUUAAUUGAGACUGUACUGGGUGAGGUUUGGUGGUUAUGAUGAAUUAUGGCAUGUCUAUUAUAACGUGCCUUGAUCUUAAUCACAUAUUUGUGAUCUUUGAACUCCAAGCAUCAUUAUAUCAAAGAUUUCCAUGCUCAGUAACUUCCAGACCUACCCACCCCCCACUCUUUCCACUGCCUGCUGAACUGGUCUGAGAGUCCUCUUUGUGGAAUCAGAGAACCUAACUGCUCCUUAUCGCCUCCAACAAACUUUUUAUUUCAAUAUUUGUGAAUCUUGCGGCUCAUUUUUUUUCCAAAUGCUGUGCCAUUCUUAAAAGUGAACCCUGACUUAAGGUAUUGAAGACUUGAAGAAUAAGUGACAGCAAUUGCUCCAGUCACAGUGCCACCUUUCCUUUAAGAGGAGAAUACGGAGAGUGCAGGCUCACAUUAAUUAGAGUAAACUACUUAGUUUUCAACUCCUAGCUCUGCAGUUAUCAUAAUCUGAACACUGCAACCAUGGAAGUGAUCAAGCAACAUGAAGCUGGCAUAAUGCCUGCAUUGCAAUCAACUAAUGCUUACAAAGUUUAUUAAUUUAACAGCAAUGACAUGGAAUUUAUAUCAACAUACUCUGAAGAUCCAAAGAUGUGGAAGACAUUAUAAAAUUAUCCACUUUUUCUACAGAGAAGGCAAACAAAUAGGAUUAAAGUGAAAAGAGCCAGUUGCACAGAUCUACAAUGAUGUGCACCAGAAAAUACAUUGCAAGAUCAUACAAUGAAGGUUUGUGUUCGUUUGGUGAAAUAUAAACAAAAAUGGCCCAAUUUAGUCGCCCCAAUCACUUGGUAGUUUACAUGAUGCAACAUUCAUUUCAAUAUACAUAUAUUGGACGGGUUAGACUGAGAAAACACCAAGGCCUAGUUUAAAUUCAAUCAUGUUGUACAUCUUUUCUAUUGCAUUAUGGUAUUGAAUGAACUCAGUCUUGAUCAGUAGUGAGCCAUCUAAAUCUACUAAAUGCAGGGUGACACUUUAAUGUAGCAAUGAGUGAUUUACUGUUGGAGCUGUUGAAUUUUGCAUGAAAUAUUAAACUGGGCUUCUCUUGUAAAAGGUACAAUAUAAUCAUGCUGUUUCAAAGCAGAGAAUGGUGUCAUUGUCAAUAUUUAUUCUUCAAUUUACAUUACGAAAACAGAUUAUCUAGUCAGUAUGUCAUUACUGUGUGAGAGAUCUGACACCACACACAUUGGUUUCCAUCACAUCUCUGCAGUUAUGAGGGCAGAUGUGAGACCGAAUAAGGUACAAAGCGUUUGGCAUCCUGAAAUAGGGAACGGUGCUUUCU